CGGGUGAGGCGCGACACGAAGCUCCCCGCCCGAUCAGAGGCCGCGGGGAGGAGCCGGGCGGACCCCUCCUCGGCGGCGCCGCGCACCGAGCCAACAUGGUGGCGGCAGCGGCAGCGCGGGGUGGAGGGGAGGCGAGGGGCAGCUCCCGAUCGGGGCCUUUCGGGGAGGGUUGCGCAGAGCCCGGCUGCCGCCUUCUUGCUUGACGCCGGUCAGGUGUGUGGCUUCAGCUCUGAGCUCUUCCGCCUGCCGUGGGAAAGGUGUGGAGAAAUUACUCUUCAACCACGCAGCCGGGGAUGUCCAGGCUUGGUGUGUUAUGGAUUUGAGUCAGACAGGACAAGGAAGGAGGAGCUGCACUCAUCUGCUGUAGCAUGUGUGGAAUACAGUGUGAGAUGCUGCUGCUGUGGUUUGCUGCUACCAGGUGCUGGGUACCAUUUCAUGACCAGUGCUUCAGGCAGGCUCAGCCUCUGUGAACUCCUCAGCUGUGCUGCGUUUCUGGUUUUCCAGGAAAAAUGCUGCUGUUAAGGUUGGGAUUAACAUAAUCACAAAGAUUAUGUGUAAUAUCAUAAAUGUAGACUGUGAAAAUUGUUACGUAUUUGAAUUGAUUCCUAAAGAAGGCGAUCAUUUAUAUUUAUGCAGUUCUAAAUGCACUUUUGGUUUUGGUUCAAAUUACCCAGUGAUUGGUAGGAUAAAGAACUUACUACGCCAAAGGAAGUAUUUUUAGUGGGAACACGGGUAUAAGAGCAGAAAGAAGGAAGGAACAGGAAUAGAGGUGUAGGAGAGCAGUCUGGGAUAUUUCAGGCACUGAUGUGGGUGCACAGAUUUGUGAUUGAGGAACACAGGACUUGUAUUCUGAGACUUGAGAAAAGCAGGACUUGUGUCCUGAGAUUUUGCAAGGAGGUGGGCAGGGCUUUUCUGAAGCACUUUAACAGUGUGUGCUGAUGGUUAAUGUAUGGUACGCAUUGUAGGCAUGUAGAAACUUGGAAACACUGAGACAUUCUUGAAAAUAAUCGGUGGGAUUGUUUUCCAGUAAAUCAGAAUAGCUCAUAGCCCUCUGCAAACAACUUUUAAAAGAUACCUUUACCUACAUUCAUCCUUUCAUUUUGAGAAAUAAGUGGUAGGCAGGUCCUCAUCUUAUUUUCAGAAGUGUGGAAAAUAUCGGCCUAUUAUAGAAGCAUCUUCCAAAAUUCAUGGGCUAAGUUCCCUUUGCUUAUUGUACUGUGUGAUGAAAUUGUAAAAAGCAGUUCUUCUUGGAAUGGGC
ensembl:lncRNA